GAUGAACGCUAGCUACAGGCUUAACACAUGCAAGUCGCGGGGCAGCAUGGGGGUUGCUUGCAAUCCCCGAUGGCGACCGGCGCACGGGUGAGUAACGCGUAUUCAACCUGCCCUUCACCACGGGAUAACCCGGCGAAAGUCGGACUAAUACCGUAUGUUGUCCAUUGACGGCCUCCGAUUUGGACGAAAGGCUUGGCGGUGAGGGAUGGGGAUGCGUCCGAUUAGCCAGACGGCGGGGUAACGGCCCACCGUGGCUACGAUCGGUAGGGGUUCUGAGAGGAAGGUCCCCCACACUGGAACUGAGACACGGUCCAGACUCCUACGGGAGGCAGCAGUGAGGAAUAUUGGUCAAUGGGCGUAAGCCUGAACCAGCCAAGUAGCGUGCAGGAGGACGGCCCUAUGGGUUGUAAACUGCUUUUAUGCGGGGAUAAAGUGGCCCACGUGUGGGCUUUUGCAGGUACCGCAUGAAUAAGGACCGGCUAAUUCCGUG
rnacentral:rRNA from 1 species